AAAGUCGUAACAAGGUUUCCGUAGGUGAACCUGCGGAAGGAUCAUUAACGAGUUCGAACGAGGUUGUCGCUGGCCUUCCGGGGCAUGUGCACACCUCUUUCUCGUCCAUCUCACACCUGUGCACCUUCGGUAGUUCUAGAGAAGGGGAAAGUCGCCGCAAGGCGAUGACCCUGACUUUGGUCCUACGUCUUCACACACUCUAUAAAGUUUUGAAUGUAUACCGCGUCUAACGCAUCUAAUACAACUUUCAACAACGGAUCUCUUGGCUCUC
rnacentral:misc_RNA from 1 species